GAUCACGUCACAAACGUGCUAGUUAUUUAGAGUGUCACUGGUUCCUAAAAUAAUGUAGAAACUUUAAACCAGUUCCUGUUCCUUUCACUCACGUCUGUCACGUUUAAACUGCGCUGAAGCAGAAAGAUCCGGUCCAGUCCUGUUCUGCUCAGCGCUCACGUGCAGAAAGGCACGAGCGCUGGUCCUUACAAUUGGGAAUUUUCCAUUGGUUUCUGGAACGUUCUGUUGUUGGGUAGAAAACGGCAGAAAGCCCCUUUUAUGGUAAACAAGUCUGUGAUUGGUCGGUUCAUUUCACAUAGAAAAUGUCAAGUUAAUCAAGUUAACAGACACUUCCUUUCAAAAUAAGACAAAUUGUGUAAUUUUCCAUUGUUUGUGGAACGACAAUCCACGAGAAGAGCUUUUAUUUUGAAAUCCCACAAAGGAUACGCCUUUAAUAUUUUUUCUGAUUCAACACCCGAACUUUGGCGAAGUUUCUGGAAGCAGGCUCCGUCUCCUCUAUAAAGGCGGGAGGCGCAGACCGGGGAUCGUGUCGGGGAGGCGGGGAUCCAUCGGCCGGAGCAGCACCUUCAUCCUGCGGCGGGCGGAGCGCGGACGGCGGGCGGACCAAAUGUUGCCGUCCAAAGAUGUUUCCAUAGAUGUUUCCGUAAAUAUUCAGACGCAGACGGGAUCCGCCGCUGGCCGCUUUAAAGCCCGUCUGCUAACAGUUUCCGUUACGCUCAGCUGAAGGUUUGGAUAAACCGGGACAAACCGGGACAAACACGGACACGUUAACGGGAGUUAUUCUGCUUCUGGGCUGAAGAGAAACAACAACCGAGUAGAAACGUGUCGUUUUGGGAGAAAAAGAGUCAUUUUAAUCGAAAUGUAACGCUUCGAGUUUAAAUUAAAGGAAACUUCUUUAAACCUCAGAUAUUGGAAAAACUCACCAGAAUUAUUAUUAUUAUCAGUAUUAAAUGAACCUCAGUAAUGCUGUACGUGAGCACCACUGCAGGAGUUUACUGUGUCUUUAUGGUCGUUUAUUAUGAAAGACUGCUGCUUUUAGGGGAAAAAGGAGAUAAAUCUAAGGUCAAAGCUGCUGCUGAGGAUCGGUAAAGAGGGCGUGGUCAUGGGGAAGUGGGCGGGGUCAGAGGAGAAUGUUCUGGAUUUUUCUAGCUUGACGACUGAAUGUAAUGUAUAGAUAAAAAUACAAUCACAAUUUUUAAGUAGAUCAAAAGAAAAAUAGUUCUGUAAAUUCUUGAUCAAAUAAGAAUGUGGGGCCAAAGUCAAUACACGUUUAUUUGUCCAUAUUUGAAUGAUUUUGAACAUUAUUUUAUUUAUUUAUUUUUUCCAAACAUUCUUUCAAACUACUCAAAAACGAAAUUUUGUUGACAUAUUUGUGGAGAUGAAUUUUAAUGUCGUCUUGAACAAUAAACAACUGUUAACAUUUUAACAAAAAAGUGUAAUUAACAAAAAAUUGAGAUAUUGUCGAAAUUUUGCAUUUCCAAGUAUUUUUUAGUAAGUGUUAUUUUGAUAAAUAUUUUGGUUUAAAGCAUUGAAAAACCCUUUAAACAAAGGAAAGUGGGCGUGGAUAAGUCUGUGAUGCACUGAAAUACUAAAGCUACUUGAGGUUUAUGUUGUGUAAACUGGUGCUGAAUUUUAAUCCCAAUAAAAAUGUUUGUUUUUUAAAGAGACUAAAUUCCAUAUUUUACUUUAAGUGUUAGAGUAUUAGAAAAGCAGAUUUGAAUAUGAUAAAUACAAUAUUAAAGUGGUUUAUUUAUGGUUGAGAUUAACCAUCAGAGAUAAACUAAUCGGUUUAUAUUCAUACGGUUUACUUUCUGUCAAAGAUAUUUAAUAACGUGUGUAUUAUUACUGUAAUAAACAUCAAACUGUGUUUUUGGAUUUGGUGGUUUUUCAGGUGAAACUCUGAGCUGCUAUAGAUGUAUCGUAGAUGUGGAUAUAAUAUUUAUUUCAUGUAUAAACUCACAUGUUUACAUAAGUGUUUGUGUCUCUACAAAUAAAUAACUACAAUCUAUUCCUAAACUGAAGUGUUGUACAUCAUGUUGCAUGACCACCGUUGGUCGCUCUGGUUCCAGACUGAACAGAUCAGUCUUCUGAUCGAGUCACUACCUGAUUAGGAUCAAUAUCAUUUUUUAAAUAUUCUCUGGGUUAAAAUAAACAUUAAAGUAGAUUUUAUACCAUCAGGCUGAUAAAUUACUGUAAAGUGAAUCAUUAAAGAAACUUCUCAUGAUGUACUGAGAUCAGGUUUUUCCUUUUAUUGCUGAUUAAUAAUUAUAAUGAGAAACUGCUGCUUGGAUCUGCAAAAAUCAUCUAAAAAAAGACAGACCUGCUGCUGAAAAUGAGUGAAAAAGAGGGUGUGGUCAAUGUGUGCAUCUUAGAACAAAUGGGCGGAGUCAGGAAGAAUGUUGCGGCUGACCUAAAGAGGUAAAGUACCGGAACCAUACGUCACAAGCUGAAUGUGACUGUAUAAGAAAUGUGU
rnacentral:lncRNA from 1 species